GAUGAACGCUGGCGGCGUGCCUAAUACAUGCAAGUCGAGCGAACGGACGAGAAGCUUGCUUCUCUGAUGUUAGCGGCGGACGGGUGAGUAACACGUGGAUAACCUACCUAUUAGACUGGGAUAACUUCGGGAAACCGGAGCUAAUACCGGAUAAUAUUUUGAACCGCAUGGUUCAAAAGUGAAAGACGGUCUUGCUGUCACUUAUAGAUGGAUCCGCGCUGCAUUAGCUAGUUGGUAAGGUAACGGCUUACCAAGGCAACGAUGCAUAGCCGACCUGAGAGGGUGAUCGGCCACACUGGAACUGAGACACGGUCCAGACUCCUACGGGAGGCAGCAGUAGGGAAUCUUCCGCAAUGGGCGAAAGCCUGACGGAGCAACGCCGCGUGAGUGAUGAAGGUCUUCGGAUCGUAAAACUCUGUUAUUAGGGAAGAACAUAUGUGUAAGUAACUGUGCACAUCUUGACGGUACCUAAUCAGAAAGCCACGGCUAACUACGUG
rnacentral:rRNA from 1 species